rnacentral:rRNA from 1 species
GACGAACGCUGGCGGCGUGCUUAACACAUGCAAGUCGAACGGAAAGGCCCUGCUUUUGUGGGGUUCUCGAGUGGCGAACGGGUGAGUAACACGUGAGUAACCUGCCCUUGUCUUUGGGAUAACUUCAGGAAACUGGGGCUAAUACCGGAUAGGAGCUCCUGCUCCAUGGGGGUGGUUGGAAAGUUUCGGCGGUGGGGGAUGGAUUCGCUGCUUAUCCGCUGGUUGGUGGGGUAGUUGCUUACCAAGGCUUUGACGGGUAGCCGGCAUGAGAGGGGGACCGGGCACCAUGGGCCUGAGGGAGGGCCCAGAAGCGAAUGGGAGGCAGUAGGGGGGAGCAUGACAGAACGGGGGGAAGCCUGAUGCAGAAGCGCCGCGUGCGGGAUGACGGCCUACGGGUGGUGAACCGCUUUGGCAUGUGACGAAGCGUGAGUGACGGUAAUGGGUAAAGAAGCAACGGCUAACUACGUG